CCACGGCAGCACGGGCAGCCGGAGAACGCGACACUUCUCUGUCAUCAGCCUGGAUGAAGAGAGAGAGGUGCCUGGGUAACCUGGAAGGUGCUGCCUCUCUCUGUCGGAGAGUGGGGACAAUGCAGGAGGUGGCUUUUGCCCGAUCUGACAAAGAGGAGGAAAACCAGCUGGGUUCCCAGUCAGGGCUCCAAGCAGAUGUCUGCAUUAGAGGAUAAAAGAGCUAAAUGAAAAUAACUUAUGUACAGUGAAAACUGGACUACGGCAUCUUCUGUCACAAGUCAUGCAUCUCCUCAGGGUGAAAAGCUUUUCACAUCACAAGACACAUGUUUGACUGUGACUUAUCAUUUCCAGGUUAGGAACAUACUUGAGUUCCCUGACGUGCUACAGACCAUUCAUCAUUUCAACCUGUGCUACUCUUGUUUUUAAGCUAACUUUUUUAGUGCUAGUGAAUUUGAUUUAGAGACAUCAGCAAAGGAGUGACACGGCUUCCCUAGCAUGGUUGUCUAUGCCAGUUCAGAUUCCGACCCCACACAUUGCUGAAAUGAGCCAACGUCAAGCCAGAGCUUGCACAAGGAAACAAGGAAACCUCAUUGAAUUUAGUGCUGGAUAAUUUUACUGGAUCUGAAAACAGAACAGAUUCUGCUCAGCACAACACAUGCAGUGGCAGAAAGGCAUCCUCCAAACGCCCUGGACAUCCUGAGCUGAAGAGACCUUCUCUAGGGGUGAAACAGUGCUUUGGUCUCGGUGCUAAUUCAGCCCUUGUCCUCUCUGCUGUGACUGCCAACAACCGUAUCAAUUAGUCGUACCAAUUGUGAUGGUGAUUUCUGUGAUGCGAACACCUGUCCUCUAGGAACUGGGCGAAGGCGACCAAACAGUUGUCAGAUGUGUGCACUGGAGCAGAAGUAGCCAAUUCCUCCCUGAAGAUGGCAAGCCCUGGGUUCCUGAGGUGUCCUGACAGUGAGUGUGGGGUUUCUGCUUGCACUGAUGGCAUCUUCUGACCUCCUGAGAGCUCCUGAGGACUGUGGAUGGCUUAAUCGUGUACCAGUAUGGUUUGCUUUUUCCUACAAAGAAGGCCACACAGAGACCUACAUACCCAACCAAGCUGGACAUGUAGUGGUCACUAAACCAGUUGCAAUCUAUGAAAUAGAGCAGGUUAAUAAUUGGCUGAAGAUGUUUGUCUGAGUUGUUGGUAAUGAUAGCCUCUGGCAGAUCAAUACAACUGGAAUACAUGCUGUCUUGAAAGAAAGACUGAAGAGAAACCUUUUCUAGCUCCACCUGCCCCCACCCCCGCAAAAGACUGACCUGAUGGCAAGAGGCUGUUAAAGCCCUGCAGAUCACUGAAUGAUAACAAGACUGAGGAUUUACAGUGGAUUCAAGGUGCUUCUCUGCUCUGGAAUUCCUUCUGACUCGUCAAAGAGAUGACAAACAAGUCCCUCACUCCUGAGGUGUCGCACACAACUUCAAGGAGCAUAAAUAUCCUGUUGUGUUUCCUCUAUCAGCAGUUUACUGUGUGGUGUAUCUCAGCCAUGUAUGUGGCACAUCAUUCACUGCUCCUUUCUCAGACCUCUGGAUAAGGUCCAGUUCUCUGGAUCCCUGAAAAUGGAGAUGUUUCCGAGGCCAGAGCCUGGACUGAAUUCUCUCUCCUUGAAUCCUGUGCAAGCAAGCCUUGCUGUUCUGGAAAGAGUGUUGCUGGCUCUGGGAGCAAAAAGUGCACUGCCACUCUGAAUACUUUCAUCAAAGAGUGGUAAACCAGCAGCUUGCUGUGUUUGCACAAAAUAACUGCUGCAGUGUGCUGAAAAACAUCCAACCUGCACUUCUGCUCCAAGUACGUUGUUUCAUGCUGUAUGGUCAAUAAGUGUAUGGAUAAUCAGGAAACUUGGCCCUCCUGUUACCCAGAGCUGUUUCUUCCUGAAGCAAGAAGCCUCUGUAUAAGAACACGAUUUUAUACCGAUGAAGAAAUCGCAGUGUGAGCUGACAAUUGGAAGCACUUUCCCACCUGGGAUUAGAUGAGAAUUUUUCAUGAUAUAAGGGAUGACACUAUCAAGCAACAUAAAUAUAUUUCAGACACUGAAGAGAGAGCAAAAUUAGGACACACUGCAUGCAAAUUCUCUGCAGAGGUGCCCGUGCCCCCACUGCCAGCUCGCUGCCUCUGCUGCUGAAAUCAAUGGGAGUUUUUGCACUGACUUCAAUAGGAGAAGAGACUACUGUACAAAGCACACUACUUUUCACCGGUAAUGGAAAUGUCACAGUGGUGCCAUUCAGGAAGGAAACCAAGUGGAGGGAAAUUAAAGAGGAAACUCCAGUCUUGUGCAGUUUAGUUGCUGAUAGCUCAUCUCGCUCAGCCUGCUGCACCCUCAGCCGGUUACACGGUGCUGCCUGGUUUAGCAUUCUUUGUCUCUUUGUCAUUUCUUACUGAGCCCACAAAGAAAGGUUUUAUCUCACUCCUCUGGAAAAGAAAGCGCCUAGAGAUUGAAGAGAUCAGGUGGCAUUUCACCUCUAGUUUUCUUCAUUCCCAGCUGGAGAGCUUUGAAUGCUCCGCACAGGCAACUAUUCUCUGACUAUUCUAUAGCUAGAUGAAGGACCAAUGGCCAAAAUGUCAUCCUUAACCUUAUUUUCUAUUCCUUGUUUCUAGUUUAACAACCAACAUUUUUACUUCCUGUUGUUUGAUUUGCAGCCAAAAUUCUGACGUGUUAUCAGUUUUGUUGCCAGAUAGCGCAUUAAGCCUUACUAAGGGGUAAACAUAAUGAUCUUCAUUAAACCUUCUAAAUGAACCCACCUCCUGCUUCUUCAGGUGGAGGAAGGCAUUGACAAGGAACACUGCUGAACUGUCUUAUAGCUAUUUUCCCCUUGCAAGCAGAAGGAGGGAGAGAUGAGUGGCAGCUUUAAAGAAGGAAAAAAGUUAGAUAAACAUGAGAGGGUUUGUGAGAUUUCCUUUCUUAAUGGCAAAGUUUUACAGCAAUAAAUCACAAUUCAGUCCAUGCCAUUAGUUUUGGGGGCAUUAUAUCCCCUCAUUAAAGUGCAUAAACAAUUAUAUUUAUUGAAGGUAAUGUACUGUGUAGUGCAUUAUAACGACACUCAUUAACAUAUGUAAUCAUCAUUUGAAUGGGCUUUACUACAAUGUAAACUGAUAAUGGCAUGAUUACCCACUGGGUUAUUAACUUUUCAGUCCUAAGAUAAUAAAAGGUGAUACAAGAAACAAAAAGCAUAUGUGCAUUGCCCUUCACAUGUGAUUUAUGUGCUUCACUGUGGAGCUAUGAACACAGGUACCCAUCAUUGGGGAGACUGGCUCUUUAUUGCACAUUGUAUUUGACAGAAUAAUAAAUGUAGCGGAAUGGUUCUUGGGUGGGCAUCUGGGGAAAAAAAGUCCCGAGAAUAAGGCGGGCAAUACUUCAAACUGCAAGACCCAGCAAAGGAAAUAAUUUUGUCUGUCUCUCUGUCUCUCACUAGCACAGUGUGGCUUACAGAUCUUCAUAUGCUCUGUCAGACUCACACAGAUUAGGGGGAAAAAAAAAAUCCAUCUUCUUUAUAUGUUUCUCCUCCUUCUUCUUUAGCCCACCAUGCGUUCCUCUCUGCCUGAGCUAUAAUUGCUGUUUAUGAGAAAAUGAAGGGAUGCAUUAUGCUAAGGUACCUGUGUGCUAAGGUAUUCAUAUUAUGCUAAGUGUAUGCUUGUAUCAAACAGAUGGUUUCAGGUAUUGAAAUGCAGCUUAGCUGCAGUAUUCUGCAGAGUAGAUUUAUCAGUUUGCUGGAGCUUCUCUUCUAUAAAAUGCCUAUUUCGAGGCAUCAGAGGUAUUAUAAAUACAGCUUAUUUGUGUAAUUUAUCAGCCCUCUCCGGGGUUUGUCUCUGUGGAAUCUUAGUGCCUUAAUUUUAAUGAAUGAAUCUGAGUUUGUUUUAGGAGGGGAUGAGUUAAGAAAUAUUAAAAUAAAAAAGGCUCACGAGCAGCCAUUCAAAAAAGUACCAGUUACCAAUAGACAGGGCUUCUCCAACAUUAAAUGGUAUAUAUAUACUAAAGUGAAAAAUUAUGUGUAAGUCUGCAGUACCUAUGGUGAAUGGAAAUACAUCAGCCAUUGUGUGCUAGCAAGACCUGUUUCUCCACUAAACUUUGAGCUGCAGACAAGGGCAGAUAUAUCAACAGGUGAUAAAAAUUUGCCCUGACACAGUGCCAAUACAGAAGCAUGUGGAGCCAGAAACUGCAGAGUUCCCAAGUGGCAGAGGAACAGUCCAACAGGUCCGAGACAAACUCUUCACUGCUUAUAGCAUAGAGUGUGUGACAAGGACAAGAACAGUGGUGACCAGAGCAUGUCUGGGCCCAGCUGCUUUAUCCACCUUCAGGACCAUGUGUGACAAGAUGCACAACCUUGCAACUGUGCUGGUCAAAGUUAGCUGCCAAACAGACCUAACCAUGGAGGGGUAACAUUAAAAACCCCCAUGCCCAGAAAAAAACCCAAACAAUCCGGCCAGAGCCUUGAGUUUGAUGGCAGAUACCACCAAGAAACACCACUGAAGAAGAGUUAAUGUUGCCAUUAAAAUUCAGGUUAAUCUCAUAGUCAUCUCUUACUUUAGAAGUCCUUUGAAAUGAAAUUGUUUGGAACUUCUAUUAGCUUGGCAUUCCUUUAAGGAGUCCACUGUCAGUCCCUGGCCCUUGAAGAGGCUAAAUAUCUGCACUUUCAGCUCUCCAUGGAAUUCUAGAAAGCUCUGGGAUGGUUUAUGGUUUUCCAUUAGCCAAGGGUCUAAUAGAGACCUGAGAUCCGUUAAGUGGGAAAUUCUUCUCAUGGAAAGCAAUAUACCGUAAUUCUUUGCUAAAAUCUGAGCUCACACAAGAAAUCUGAGCUUGUGGUAAAGACCAGGGUGCAGUAAGUUUGUGCAGGAAAUUACUUCAUACUGUUUGUUAUUGGACUAUUUAUCCACAACUUUUUAGACAACAGAGGCGAUGGACUUGAUUCGCUCUUGAACCAAAUGGGGCAGAUGCUCAUUAGAUGACUGGCCCUGUGGACAGGAGCUUUAAAUCAUGCCCUGGUAUUGCAAACACCUCAUUAGUGAUUUGGAAACUGCUGAGGGGCUAAGGAGAAUGAGAACACCCUUCUCUGCUCCGCUGACAGCAUUUUUCCAGAUCAGCUGUACUCAUUUAGGAAGUCACCAAGGGCUGAGAACCUUGCACCACUCUGACCUCCCCCCCGGCUGGGGCAGACUUUCUGCCAUGGUAGUGCCAGUAGCAGCAUAAGUGAAUCAAACCUAUUGCUGUUUUUUGGCCAUGAUAACUUGACUUACUCUUAUGAUUGAACUGU